rnacentral:rRNA from 1 species
UUCCCCUAGUAACGGCGAGUGAACCGGGAAGAGCUCAAAUUUGAAAUCUGGCGUCCUCAGGGCGUCCGAGUUGUAAUCUAUAGAGGCGUUUUCCGCGCCGGACCGUGUAUAAGUCUCCUGGAACGGAGUAUCAAAGAGGGUGACAAUCCCGUGCUUUACACGACGACCGGUGCUAUGUGAUACGUCUUCUACGAGUCGAGUUGUUUGGGAAUGCAGCUCAAAACGGGUGGUAAACUCCAUCUAAAGCUAAAUAUUGGUGGGAGACCGAUAGCGAACAAGUACCGUGAGGGAAAGAUGAAAAGCACUUUGGAAAGAGAGUUAAACAGUAUGUGAAAUUGUUGAAAGGGAAACGAUUGAAGUCAGUCGUGUCCAUUGGGUUCAGCCGGUCCUGCCGGUCUACUCCCUUUGGACGGGUCAACAUCAGUUCUGACCGGCGGAUAAUGGCACGAGGAACGUGGCACCCUCCGGGGUGUGUUAUAGCCUCGCGUCGCAUACGCUGGUCGGGACUGAGGAACGCAGCUCGCCCUCACGGGCCGGGGUUCGCCCACGUCCGAGCUUAGGAUGUUGACAUAAUGGCUUUAAACGACCCGUCUUGA